CCUACGGGUGGCAGCAGUGAGGAAUAUUGGUCAAUGGGCGCGAGCCUGAACCAGCCAAGUAGCGUGAAGGAUGACUGCCCUACGGGUUGUAAACUUCUUUUAUAAAGGAAUAAAGUGAGGCACGUGUGCCUUUUUGUAUGUACUUUAUGAAUAAGGAUCGGCUAACUCCGUGCCAGCAGCCGCGGUAAUACGGAGGAUCCGAGCGUUAUCCGGAUUUAUUGGGUUUAAAGGGAGCGUAGAUGGGUUGUUAAGUCAGUUGGGAAAGUUUGCGGCUCAACCGUAAAAUUGCAAUUGAUACUGGCAGUCUUGAGUACAGUUGAGGUAGGCGGAAUUCGUGGUGUAGCGGUGAAAUGCUUAGAUAUCACGAAGAACUCCGAUUGCGAAGGCAGCAUACCGGCGCCCGACUGACGCUGAGGCACGAAAGCGUGGGGAUCGAACAGGAUUAGAUACCCUUGUAGUC
rnacentral:rRNA from 1 species